rnacentral:lncRNA from 1 species
AGGUAAGAAAAAUUAAAUUUUUCUUACAUCGGUGCGGCACGGAGAAGACGAAGAAAUCAACGAAAGACGGUCCUUUGCACGGGCAAGAUGUAGAAGAUUGCUAGAGGAGGGGGAACAAAUAUCCUCUAACUUUCUCUCUCUUGUUGGGUAUAAUAAAUCGCUCUCCAAAGUUGAUUUAAUAACCCACUUAAGGUGGACUUAAAUAGGCUUUGAGAGAAAUUUAUUUCCCUUUCCUAGAAGGAUCUAAUUUCCAUUUAAAGAGAGAAUCAACAUCAAAAUAGGAAGCAGUCUUAAGUUUCCUAAAGCAAGAAAAUCUCUACACCUGUUGCCCUUUCCUACAAGCAGCCCAACAGGUGUGGGGGCAUUUGUGGAGCCAAAAAUAUUCACUAGGCGACACGUGGACUUUUGGACAAAAGAGGACAAAAAUACCCUCGAGGCAUACCAGGAUUCCUACGCGCGAGCAGUGGGCAAUCAUCUUUCAAUCAAGUCAAAAGUACCCAAAAAAGGUAACAAUUAAAAACCUCUUUCAUCAAAUCCUUUCUAUAAGGUAUUUCCCAAGACCUAGUAUUUUCUAUUUCAUUAUUUAGCUAAUCAAUUAGCUAAAUAAUAUAUGUCUAUCAUAUCUCCUAAAAUCAUCCUUAAUAGUCAAUUAAAUCACCCAAUUAAUAGCCAAAACCGGCCCCCCACUUUUCACAUCCUCAUCUUUCCCAUUUUCCUUAUUAAAAUAGUCAUUCAUUUUUAUAACCACCCAUUUAUUCUUUUCAUAUUUAAUUAGAAUAAAUUGGCUAAUUAAACCUAAAUUAAACCUAAAAACCCUAGCCACCUCCUAUCCCUAUAAAUAUACUCCCAUUCUCACCAAAAAGCUAUUUCCAACACUUUGGCAAAAAUCCCAAAAUUCUCUAAACACUCUUUCUCUCUAAAUUCUAACUUUGGCAUCGGAGG